UACGUAGGUGGCAAGCGUUGUCCGGAUUUAUUGGGUUUAAAGGGUGCGUAGGCGGCCUUAUAUGUCAGUGCUGAAAUAUCCCGGCUUAACCGGGAGGGUGGCAUUGAUACUGUAGGGCUUGAGUGUAGUCGGGGUAGGCGGAAUUGACGGUGUAGCGGUGAAAUGCUUAGAUAUCGUCAAGAACACCGAUAGUGUAGACAGCUUACUAGGCUACAACUGACGCUGAGGCACGAAAGUGUGGGGAUCAAACAGG
rnacentral:rRNA from 1 species